rnacentral:lncRNA from 1 species
UUUACUAGUUUAUUUUAUUUUAAAAGUGAAAAUUACUAUUUAUUUUAGUGUGACUUGUUUAUAGUUUCUAAAAUUUUAUUGGUUUCAUUGAAAUUGAAAACAUAAGCGUUGAUUACUAUAAUUCUAGCUAUAGGUUGUGGGUAACCAUUACCACCCUAUUUAACAAACUUCUCAACUUAACCAAAAUUUACGAAUAGCAGCGGAAAGACUUUUUUUUCAAAAGUAGGCUCAGUUGUGGUCUUUAUCUUUAGCUUGUAGGUUAUACUUGGUGCAAAAAGCCUAAUUCAGGUUGGGCACACGCCCCUCCCACAAGUCAAUAAGCACACCACCAAUAAAUGAAUUUCUUGUAGCAAAAAAUUUUUAUGUUUUUUAUACUGUAUACUAGUUUCACUUAUUUUAUUAAAUA